UGCAUGUCUCAGUGCAAGCCACAUUAAGGUGAAACCGCGAAUGGCUCAUUAAAUCAGUUAUGGUUCCUUAGAUCGUACACACACUACUUGGAUAACUGUGGUAAUUCUAGAGCUAAUACAUGCAAACAGAGCUCCGACCAGAAAUGGAAGGAGCGCUUUUAUUAGAUCAAAACCAAUCGGUCGGCUCGUCCGGUCCGUUUGCCUUGGUGACUCUGAAUAACUUUUGGCUGAUCGCACGGUCACAGUACCGGCGACGCAUCUUUCAAAUGUCUGCCUUAUCAACUUACGAUGGUAGGUUCUGCGCCUACCAUGGUUGUAACGGGUAACGGGGAAUCAGGGUUCGAUUCCGGAGAGGGAGCCUGAGAAACGGCUACCACAUCCAAGGAAGGCAGCAGGCGCGCAAAUUACCCACUCCCGGCACGGGGAGGUAGUGACGAAAAAUAACGAUACGGGACUCAUCCGAGGCCCCGUAAUCGGAAUGAGCACACUUUAAAUCCUUUAGCGAGUAUCC
rnacentral:rRNA from 1 species